rnacentral:rRNA from 1 species
UACGAAGGGGGGCUAGCGUUGCUCGGAAUCACUGGGCGUAAAGCGCACGUAGGCGGCUUUCUAAGUCAGGGGUGAAAUCCUGGAGCUCAACUCCAGAACUGCCUUUGAUACUGGAGAGCUCGAGUCCGGAAGAGGUGAGUGGAACUCCGAGUGUAGAGGUGAAAUUCGUAGAUAUUCGGAAGAACACCAGUGGCGAAGGCGGCUCACUGGUCCGGUACUGACGCGUGAUGUGCGAAAGCGUGGGGAGCAAACA